rnacentral:lncRNA from 1 species
GCUUUGGUUGUCUGGGGGUUAUAAGAUUACGGGGGCAUUUUUUCUCUUCUUUAUUUUUUUUUUUUAGUAUUUUAUUUAUUUUAGAGAGAGAGAGCAUGAGGGGGGAGGGUCAGAGGGAGAGGAAGACUGCCCACUGAGCAGGGAGCCCGAUGCAGGAACUCAAUCCCGGGACCCUGGGAUCAUGACCUAAGCCGGAGGCAGUCGCCCAACCAACUGAGCCACCCAGACGCCCUUGUCUCUUCUUUAUUAUUUUCCUGUAUUCUAGAUUCACCACAAUGAGCAGAUACUGCUGUUACAGCAAAAACAAACACAGUAGUGAAGGCUUGCAAGAAUUUCAGUUCCAUGGAUUUUAUUUAUUUAUUCAAGAGAGAGAGCAAGAAAGAGCACAAGCCAGGUGGAGGGAGAGGAAGAGGGACAAGCAGACUCCCCACUGAGCAGGGAGCCCAAGAUCCCGGGACCUGAGCUGAAGGCAGAGGCUUAACCAACUAAGCCACCCAGAUGCUCCACAGACAUCGAAUCAUCAUGUUUUACACCUGAAACUAAUGUAUGUUACAUGUUAA